GAUGAACGCUGGCGGCGUGCCUAAUACAUGCAAGUCGAGCGAACAGACGAGGAGCUUGCUCCUCUGACGUUAGCGGCGGACGGGUGAGUAACACGUGGAUAACCUACCUAUAAGACUGGGAUAACUUCGGGAAACCGGAGCUAAUACCGGAUAAUAUAUUGAACCGCAUGGUUCAAUAGUGAAAGACGGCUUUGCUGGCACUUAUAGAUGGAUCCGCGCCGCAUUAGCGAGUUGGUAAGGUAACGGCUUACCAAGGCGACGAUGCGUAGCCGACGUGAGAGGGUGGUCGGCCACACGGGAACGGAGACGCGGUCCAGACUCCUACGGGAGGCAGCAGUAGGGAAUCUUCCGCAAUGGGCGAAAGCCUGACGGAGCAACGCCGCGUGAGUGAUGAAGGUCUUCGGAUCGUAAAGCUCUGUUAUUAGGGAAGAACAAAUGUGUAAGUAACUAUGCACGUCGUGACGGUACCUAAUCAGAAAGCCCCGGCUAACUACGUG
rnacentral:rRNA from 1 species